rnacentral:tRNA from 1 species
GGAGAGAUGGCUGAGUGGUUUAAGGCGCACGCCUGGAAAGCGUGAGUACCUAAACAGUACCGAGGGUUCGAAUCCCUCUCUCUCCGCCA